CGAUUUUUUGUUCUUUUUAGUUCAUAUAGUUUUUAAAUUAUAUAAAUGGUGUGUAAUUUCGGCAGCUAUUGACGCCACCGGUGACUUUCUUUUUGACUUUGCAUCAACAUGCUAUUUAUAAAGACUACCACAACUCUCAUAUUUCAACAUCCAAAAUUACAUUCUUGCAUUUUACUAUUUUGCUUGUCAAACUCUCAACUCAUGGAGCACGGUAACAUCACCUAUUUGAAGGACUUGGAUUUGGCUCGUCGUGUUUACAUUGUGAAGGUUCGUAUACUCCGGUUAUGGAAGCAACCCAUGUAUAACAAUCCAAAAUAGUUUUACUCGAUCGAAAUGAUUGUGGUUGACGAACAGGGAACAAAGAUGCAAGCCAAUGUUAUCCGAAGAUGGUUUCCCAAGUUUGAGCAUCUUUUAAAUGAAUUAGGUAACAUGUU